CCUACGGGAGGCAGCAGUGGGGAAUAUUGGGCAAUGGAGGAAACUCUGACCCAGCGACGCCGCGUGCGGGAUGAAGGCCUUCGGGUUGUAAACCGCUUUCAGCAGGGAAGAAGCGAAAGUGACGGUACCUGCAGAAGAAGCACCGGCUAACUAUGUGCCAGCAGCCGCGGUAAUACAUAGGGUGCAAGCGUUGUCCGGAAUUAUUGGGCGUAAAGAGCUCGUAGGUGGUUCGUCACGUCGGAUGUGAAAAUCUGGGGCUUAACCCCAGACCUGCAUUCGAUACGGGCGAGCUUGAGUAUGGUAGGGGAGUCUGGAAUUCCUGGUGUAGCGGUGGAAUGCGCAGAUAUCAGGAGGAACACCAAUGGCGAAGGCAGGACUCUGGGCCAUUACUGACACUGAGGAGCGAAAGCGUGGGGAGCGAACAGGAUUAGAUACCCUGGUAGUCCACGCCGUAAACGGUGGGCACUAGUUGUGGGGACCUUCCACGGUCUCUGCGACGCAGCUAACGCAUUAAGUGCCCCGCCUGGGGAGUACGAGCGCGAGAUAAACGUACGAAGAAGUUAGUAGNGUUGAGAGNGCGAGGACGACGACGAGGAGAGG
rnacentral:rRNA from 1 species